ACCUCAAGGAAGGUGAAAUUGAGU
rnacentral:siRNA from 1 species